rnacentral:rRNA from 1 species
GACGAACGCUGGCGGCGUGCUUAACACAUGCAAGUCGAACGAUGAAGCCUAGCUUGCUGGGUGGAUUAGUGGCGAACGGGUGAGUAACACGUGAGUAACCUGCCCUGGACUCUGGGAUAACCCCGAGAAAUCGGAGCUAAUACCGGAUAGGACCUUGAGCGGCAUCGCUUGGGGUGGAAAGUUUUUUCGGUUUGGGAUGGACUCGCGGCCUAUCAGCUUGUUGGUGAGGUAAUGGCUCACCAAGGCGUCGACGGGUAGCCGGCCUGAGAGGGUGACCGGCCACACUGGGACUGAGACACGGCCCAGACUCCUACGGGAGGCAGCAGUGGGGAAUAUUGCACAAUGGGCGCAAGCCUGAUGCAGCAACGCCGCGUGAGGGAUGACGGCCUUCGGGUUGUAAACCUCUUUUAGCAGGGAAGAAGCGAGAGUGACGGUACCUGCAGAAAAAGCGCCGGCUAACUACGUGCCAGCAGCCGCCGUAAAAC